rnacentral:rRNA from 1 species
GCCCGUCGCUACUACCGAUCGAACGGUCCGAUGAGGUCCUCGGAUCUGGCCGACGUGUCCGCUACGCGCGGCGGCGUUCCGCGCCGUCACCGGCACGUUCUCUGAUGGCCCGGAGAAGACGACCGAACCCGAUCGCUUUGAGGAAGUAAAAGUCGUAACA